CCAUUCCAGCCAUUUGGUUGGGGGGAGUUCCACUCCGAUUUAUAUUCCGAGAUGGAAUAGGAAUGGUCCAAUUCCUCUCCAAUCCAAUCCAAACUCUCCCCAAUGGAUUGAGAUCUCAUUCCCAUGGAAUCAGAUAAAAAGAAAUUAGAGAGAUAGAGAUGGGGACGUCGACGAUGACGAGGUCGGUGAGGUUGGCAAGAUGGGAGAGCCAGACACCGGUGAGAAGGCGGAGGGAGGAGAUGCAGGAGGAGCGGAGAGAGGAGGCG
rnacentral:lncRNA from 1 species